CCCAGAUCCGCAGAGAUCCUAUCCCUUCUCCUCCCAGCGGAAGGCAGCACUUCCUCAAGACGUCAAAACCAGAUCUGAGCCCGUUCACAGCUCGUGAAAAUACUUUGUACUUCCUCUUGCUGUUUUGAGGGUUAAAUAAGGUUAAAAGUUGCAAGAGUGGCUUAGCAGCGCUUGGUCUCCCCUAAAAGACAAGUCUGAAGAAUAGUCACAUGGGCAACUGGAACCAGGAGAGAGAACUGAACCUUAGAUUCUCAGAUAGCAGGUUAAUGUUCUCUUUUACUUCUUUUUCUGGGGCAUGCCUUCUGACUGCUGUGUAAUGGGCAUGCCUUUAGCUGGAUGCUUUUACAAAAGAAGAGGCAGCUGUCACCCAUCAUCUGGAAAUACUCUUGACUCCAUUAGUGCAUGUUAUGUGUAUGCACUCAGAUUGUCUGCGCUGAGUGCAUCAGUUACUUAGCCAGAAGAAUAUUUUGAUUCUUGAUACCAAUAGUAAAUAGGAGCUAGAAAAGUCCAACUUUUAAAUCCUACCAAAACAAAGGGACCAUUAUAUAUUGAUGAAAUGAACUGUAGAACAUCUACAUAGCUUUAGCAUCACAUACUGCACUAAAGACUGAAGUUGAACAGCCUGUAGUGGCAUGGCAGGCAAGUGACACAUUUCAGAUUCUCAGCUUUGCACAAUGAUGUUAGAGACCAGGAAAUAAUUGUUUAACCGGCUACUUAUAUAUUAUCCAAGCCAACAGUAGCUAUCUGUGCUAAACUGUUACGCUAGUGGUGGUGUGAGAUAAAUCGAGUUUGAGGCACAUUAGUAGGUUUCAGAUUCCUCAGUGAAGUAAUCUCUUACUCCUUGGACUUUGUGAGGGAUCUCAUAUACUGCCCAAGUUUUGUCUUUGAAGAAGUGUAAGAUUCCCAUUAAAAUUCUGUCUCAUGACUACCAGCCCCAUCCCAAUGUUUCAAACACCUUAAACUUUCUCAGAUGAAAGAAUGCCCUUGCAUUUACACAAGUGAAUCGUGCCUCUAAAUGUAGGUAUACAGACACCUGCAUGUUAUUAGAUGUUAAUUAGGUGCCUAUUCUCCCAUUACAGUCAGUAGUAGGGUCCAGGCCUGAUGCUUUCAUACACUUGUCUUGCAUAUCAUGAGAAACAGGUAGGUGCCUACAGUCAGUUCCGUGGUGAGCAACACAAUGGACCA